ACAUCAUGAUUCGGGCAUUGGGAUAACUUGCCAUUAAACCUCUCCCAUGCUUCAUACAAUGGCUCCCUAUUUAAUUGCCAAAAGUUUAUGAUCUCGUCCCGCUUU